UACGAAGGGGGCUAGCGUUGCUCGGAAUUACUGGGCGUAAAGCGCACGUAGGCGGACUAUUAAGUCAGGGGUGAAAUCCCGGGGCUCAACCCCGGAACUGCCUUUGAUACUGGUAGUCUAGAGUCCGGAAGAGGUGAGUGGAAUUCCGAGUGUAGAGGUGAAAUUCGUAGAUAUUCGGAGGAACACCAGUGGCGAAGGCGGCUCACUGGUCCGGUACUGACGCUGAGGUGCGAAAGCGUGGGGAGCAAACAGG
rnacentral:rRNA from 1 species